GGAGAGUCCAGCUCAGUGGUAGAGCGCGUGCUUAGCAUGCACGAGGUCCUGGGUUCAAUCCCCGGUAUCUCCA
rnacentral:tRNA from 1 species